rnacentral:rRNA from 1 species
CCCUGCCAUUUGUACACACCGCCCGUCGCUCCUACCGAUGUUUGAACCGAUGAGGACUCGGGACAAUUGGGGUUCCCGGUCGGCCGCAAGGUCGAUCGCCCCGAUUGAAACUUGUUCAAAUCUUUUUA